AUGAAGCCAUUGAAUGUGGUCAAACCUAAAUCUGGGGAAGGUUUCAGGACAACAACUGAAGUACUAAAGGAGAAAGGCAAGUCAGUUAUCAAUAUGGAUGCAGAUGAUGUUCAUGACAAUGAUGCAAGUGGAGGAUCAACAGAUUCAGAAGAAGAGGGUAGUGACAUUGAUUAUGUGCCUGAAAUUGCAGAUAGUGACUAUGCCAUAUCAGAGGGAGAUGAUGACUUGUAUGUGAACAAUUGCUUUGAUGCUGUAGAGGAGAAUAGGAAUGAGGAACAAUUGGAUGUGUCAGAAGAUGAUGAGUUAAGAAGGACAGAUUCUGAUGAUGAAGGAAUAAUUGAGAUGAACUUCAAGACAUUUAGGGAUGAAGAUUUAAUAAGCCCUAAGUUUCAUGUGGGGCAAAUUUUUCAUAAUGUGCAGCUGCUUAGGAAGGCUAUCAAAGAAUACUCAUGCAGGAACAGGGUCAACCUGAAGAUGCCAACUAAUGACAAGAUGAGGGUUUGUGCAAAAUGUGAGGAGGGGUGCCCUUGGUAUCUAUGGGCAUCCAAUGAAAAUAGGACAAAGGCAUUCAUGGUUAAGAAGCUUGUGGACAAACACACAUGCAGCAAGAAAUGGCAAGUGAAAAGCUUCACAGAUCCAUACAUGGCAGAGAAGUAUUUGGACUCAUUUAGGGCAGAUGAAAACAUGAGCAUGAAGAACUUCUCUAGGGUGGUGCAGGAACAAUGGAAUAUGAAGCCUACAAGGAGUAAGCUUAGGAGAGCAAAAAGGUUGGCUCUUAAUAUUAUCCAUGGAGAUGAGGAGAAACAGUACAACAAGCUUUGGGACUAUGCAAAUGAAUGGAGAAGGUCAAAUCCAGGGAGCACAUUUUAUUUAGCAGCAGAUACAGAUGGUACUUUCCUACACUGCUAUUUCUCUUUGGAGCCAUGCAAGAGAGGGUUUAUGCAGGCUUGUAGGCCAGUAAUCUGCUUAGAUGGAUGCCAUUUGAAGACCAGAUAUGGAGGUGUUCUUCUCACCGCAGUUGACCUAGAUCCAAAUGAUUGCAUCUAUCCAAUUGCUUGUGCUAUUGUUGAAAUUGAGAACACUGACACCUGGAGGUGGUUCUUAUCCUCUCUGAAACAAGACCUAGUCAUUACUGAAACUGAUCUGUGGACUAUUAUGUCUGACAAGCAGAAGGGUUUGAUCAAAGCUCUCAGAGAUUACUUUCCACAUGUAGAGCACAGGUUCUGUGUCAGGCACUUGUGGCAAAACUACCAACAACAGUUUAGGGGUGAAGUGCUCAAGAACCAGCUGUGGAAAUGUGCUAGGAGCACAACUCCUUCUGAUUUUGAACAGAACAUGGAAAAGCUUAAAGUGAUAAACUUUGAAGCAUGA
rnacentral:rRNA from 1 species